GAUGAACGCUGGCGGCGUGCCUAAUACAUGCAAGUCGAGCGAAUGGAUUGAGAGCUUGCUCUUAUGAAGUUAGCGGCGGACGGGUGAGUAACACGUGGGUAACCUGCCCAUAAGACUGGGAUAACUCCGGGAAACCGGGGCUAAUACCGGAUAACAUUUUGAACCGCAUGGUUCGAGAUUGAAAGGCGGCUUCGGCUGUCACUUAUGGAUGGACCCGCGUCGCAUUAGCUAGUUGGUGAGGUAACGGCUCACCAAGGCAACGAUGCGUAGCCGACCUGAGAGGGUGAUCGGCCACACUGGGACUGAGACACGGCCCAGACUCCUACGGGAGGCAGCAGUAGGGAAUCUUCCGCAAUGGACGAAAGUCUGACGGAGCAACGCCGCGUGAGUGAUGAAGGCUUUCGGGUCGUAAAACUCUGUUGUUAGGGAAGAACAAGUGCUAGUUGAAUAAGCUGGCACCUUGACGGUACCUAACCAGAAAGCCACGGCUAACUACGUGCCAGCAGCCGCCGCGG
rnacentral:rRNA from 1 species